rnacentral:rRNA from 1 species
GCGCAGCAGUCGAGAAUACUUUACAAUGUGCGAAAGCACGAUAAGGGAACUCUGAGUGCCUCCUAAGGAGGCUGUUCUGAUGUCUAAAAAGCAACAGAAGUAAGGGCUGGGUAAGACCGGUGCCAGCCGCCGCGGUAACACCGGCAGCCCAAGGUCGUAGCCACGUUUAUUAGGUCUAAAGCGUUCGUAGCCGGCCAGGUAAGUUCCUUGGUAAAUUUAGCCGCUUAACGGUUAAGCUUUCGGGGAAUACUGCUUGGCUUGGGACUGGGAGAGGUCAGAGGUACUCCGGGGGUAGGGGUGAAAUCUAUUAAUCCCUGGGGGACCACCGGUAGCGAAGGCGUCUGACCCAGACCCAGGUCCGACGGUGAGGGGA